UUUCUAAAUGCAUACUCUACCUGUUCAGUUACACUCGUUGUGGAACAACAUUAGCUUAUAUACCAGUAAGUUGUCGAGAAUGGAUAACCAUCUGUCAUUAUCACUGACCUUCAAAGACUCAUCAAGCAGUCCCUGCAUAAGGAUUGGAGUGGUUUGAAGUUUCUCUUCCAAGCACUAACAUGUCCCUAUCCCACAGUCAUUUUAAUU
rnacentral:lncRNA from 1 species